CUUGAGGGAGCCGAGCCACAGCGGGUGGCCGUCGCCGGGCCGUUCCUGACCGUAGGUGGCGAGGAGGGCCUGCGCCUC
rnacentral:antisense_RNA from 1 species